GGUGCGUUGCCCGAGUGGUCAGGGAGCGGCCUGCAAAGCCGUGGACACGGGUUCGAAUCCCGUACGCACCU
rnacentral:tRNA from 1 species